rnacentral:rRNA from 1 species
UACGUAGGGUGCAAGCGUUAAUCGGAAUUACUGGGCGUAAAGCGUGCGCAGGCGGCUUUGCAAGACAGAUGUGAAAUCCCCGGGCUUAACCUGGGAACUGCGUUUGAAACUGGGGAGCUGGAGUGUAGAAGAGGGGGGUGGAAUUCCAGGUGUAGCAGUGAAAUGCGUAGAGAUCUGGAGGAACACCGAUGGCGAAGGCAGCCCCCUGGGCUAACACUGACGCUCAUGCACGAAAGCGUGGGGAGCAAACAGG